rnacentral:rRNA from 1 species
UACGUAGGGUGCAAGCGUUAAUCGGAAUUACUGGGCGUAAAGCGUGCGCAGGCGGUUUUGUAAGUCUGUCGUGAAAUCCCCGGGCUCAACCUGGGAAUGGCGAUGGAGACUGCAAGGCUAGAGUUUGGCAGAGGGGGGGUAGAAUUCCACGUGUAGCAGUGAAAUGCGUAGAUAUGUGGAGGAACACCGAUGGCGAAGGCAGCCCCCCUGGGUCAAAAACUGACGCUCAUGCACGAAAGCGUGGGGGAGCAAAACAGG